UGAAAAUGCAUGAUUUUCGAGAGAAAAGUGGUAUUUCUCGAGAGAAGCGUGGGGUAAGGUGGUAUAUUUGGGGAGAAAUGUGUUAUUUCCCAGCGAAAAGUGGUAUUUUCGGGAAGGAAGUGCAGAAUUUUUGGGAGUAUUUUCGGGGUGAAAAUGCAUGAUUUUCGAAAGAAAAGU
rnacentral:lncRNA from 7 species